AUUGAACGCUGGCGGCAGGCCUAACACAUGCAAGUCGAGCGGAUGAAGGGAGCUUGCUCCUGGAUUCAGCGGCGGACGGGUGAGUAAUGCCUAGGAAUCUGCCUGGUAGUGGGGGAUAACGUCCGGAAACGGGCGCUAAUACCGCAUACGUCCUGAGGGAGAAAGUGGGGGAUCUUCGGACCUCACGCUAUCAGAUGAGCCUAGGUCGGAUUAGCUAGUUGGUGGGGUAAAGGCCUACCAAGGCGACGAUCCGUAACUGGUCUGAGAGGAUGAUCAGUCACACUGGAACUGAGACACGGUCCAGACUCCUACGGGAGGCAGCAGUGGGGAAUAUUGGACAAUGGGCGGAAGCCUGAUCCAGCCAUGCCGCGUGUGUUAAGAAGGUCUUCGGAUUGUAAAGCACUUUAAGUUGGGAGGAAGGGCAGUAAGUUAAUACCUUGCUGUUUUGACGUUACCAACAGAAUAAGCACCGGCUAACUUCGUG
rnacentral:rRNA from 1 species